GUGCACUGCGUACUGCGAUAAAGAAAAUAGUUUGUCAAAGGAGCCAAGCAGAAAAAUUUUAUACGUCCGCAAACUGCAGUAGUUGUUAAGCAAUAUUAUGUUACACAAGUUACCCAUAAAUAUUACAAUUCAUGUCGAUGUAAGCGUGCAUUUGUGCGCGUUUAUUUGUAUGAAUGCGCGUUUGCGUUGUCAUCUUUUGGCGCAUUCCUGCUGAAGAAUAUGCGGAUUGCUUCCUUCAUUUUCAGCGCUCUUUGAUUGCCCCGCUGUGACCUCUUUGGUGUAUUUCUACUUUGUCGCCCGCUUUUGCGAUGCUUCUUGUUGCCUCGAAGAUCACCAUGAUGGCCUCCGACUCGGCGACGUCAAAGAUUCAAAAUGAGCCUGCAGACGCCACAGCUAGAACACGAAAGGUGAAUUCUUGGACCAGUCAUCAUCUAGCGUCUCCAUAAUCGGAUGCAGUGAUGCUGAGAGAAUGCACCGCAGGGAGUGGAAGGAAAUCGCUGCUGAUGCAACCACAAGCAUUUCCAACAUUGAUCAGCCGGCGCACAGUGCCUUCACUAGUAGAGAUGAUGAAUUUAGUCACCCAGCUGCGAGACUUUGCAAAUUUGCAGGAGUGGGAGUAAAUUUCGCUGUCAUGUGAGCAAACUAAAUGUAAAAUGUGCCUUGUCAGAGUGUAUGCCUGAUAUACAAGGGGUGUUCAUAAAGUUUGUAUUAUCAGUACUAUAAAUUCGAAACAGGUGUGCACAUUAGGCAUCAGCAUGAGUGCAUGUCAUUCUAGAUUUAGCAGAGUAUAUAUUGUGUUCUAUGUAGUACUGUCAUUCACUGCUAGAAGCACCAAACCAAAAACGGCAGCGUCAAUCGAGAAAGUUGCUUGUAGCAAAAGCAGUGAUCAGCUUUCUGCAUUUCAAGGGACAAAAUUUUAGGGGUGUGUGAAUAUUCAAAUUUUUCAGAUAACGAAUCAAAUAGUCCCUAUUAGUAAGUGCAAAUAUUUUUCUAACACUUUUAGAAUAUUUUACAAUGUCAACUGCACUCAAUUAAACAUAAAAAUGGAGCAAACGUACAGUAAGUUUGCAUCCCCAUGGGGAUAGUAUAGACGAAAAACAGAACUUGCCUCGUGGAGCAGGCUAAGCUGCUUAGGUAGCCAUACUUUACAUGUUAUACAGCAAUCAUUUGCACUUUCUGAAGAGUCCUGUGUACUUGAAAAAACUACUUGUUUGCUCCUAAUGCCCCGUUGGUGCUUUUAUUAAACAACACUUCAUAACGUGCUAUGUAUGACAGAAACUUGCCAACUUUUAGCAUGCUAGGAUGUGAACAUCUUCUUAUAUGUAAAAUUAUGACAAUGGCUGUUCAUUAUUGGAAAAUGAUUCUAUAUUUGAUUUGCUUUAAGCACUGUUGGAUUUGUAUUGCAUUUGAUCUAAAAAAUCGCUCUUCGCACACCCCUACAAAAUUCCAAAAAGAUUGAUGUCAACACUGUGCAGUGUUGGUCACCGCAUGCCGUAACCAGCUCAGUGUGAAUCUCUAACAUUGUGCCUCUUAAAUUGCAGAAAGCAAAUUGCUACUCUUGUUUCAACCAACUUUCCCAAUGGAUGCUGCCAUUUGUAGUUUGAUGCCCCUCGCAGCGUUUCGUGAUACUAUAUAGAAGACAAUUUUUAUAUCUUGCUGAAACUAAAGAUGUGCACUCUUGUUGAUGCUUAUUCCAUACACGUGUUCCAAAUUUAUGGUGCUGAUAAUAGAAACUUUAUUAGUGACCCUAGCCUAUAGGCAUCCAUGGUCUGAUUACGAGGCGCACAAUAGCGAGGGCCUCUGGAUUAAUUCUGAAGACUGAAGGUUCUUUGCUGCACACCCAAUGUGUGGCACACGAGGGUUUGUACAUUCUGCCUCCAUCGGAAAACCGGCUCACACAUCACACUUACACAAACCUAUUUGAAAUAAACAGAGGGCACAGCUUUAUGUUCAGUUCUUGUUGUCACGAGUGCUCAGUCAUAGUGCCAGAGCCACUAUGUUUAAAAUGUUUUCGCAGCUCUAUACCAAGUGUUGAUGGCCUUAGCAAAUCCAUAUAGGCACUGCCUGUUAUUGUAUUUUUCUUGUGCUAUAUCCAAGCAUUCACAUUCCCUGAGCUCUGAAUUGUCAUGUACCAAGCAUCUGUACACUUGCUGUUAGCUUAGUGAAUUUAAGCAAACACCUGUGAUUUGCUUCCAAAGUAAUUAAUAAGCAUGACGUAAGCAUGAUGCUCCAAAAAGUGUUAAAAUAGACAUCAUCAUCAUCAUCAGCCAAUUUUAUGUCCAUUGCAGGACGAAGGCCUCUCCCUGCGAUCUCCAAUUACCCUUGUCUUUCACCAACAGAUUCCGAUUAGCACCCACAAAUUUCCUAAUUUCGUCGCACCAACUAGUCUUCUGGCUUCCAUUCUCUUGGCACCCAUUCUGUCACCCUAAUGGUCCAAUGGUUAUCUAAUCUGUGCAUUACAUGACCUGCCCAGCGCCAUUUUUUUCCUCUUAACGUCAAUUAGAAUAUCGUCUAUACCCGUUUGCUCUCUGAUCCAAACCGCUUCUUUGUCUCUUAAAGUUAUGCCUAACAUUCUUGGUUCCAUCACUUUGCGCGGUCCUUAACUUGUUCUCAAGCUUCUUUGUCAGUAUCCAAGUCUCUGCCCCAUAUGUCAGCACCGGUAAAAUGCACUAAUUGUAUACCUUCCUUUUCAAUGAUAAUGGUAAGCUUCCAGUCAGGAGCUGACAAUGUCUGCCGUAUGCGAUCCAACCCACUUUUAUUCUUCUACGAAUUUCCUUCUCAUGAUCAGGGUUCCUUGUGAUUAAUUAACCUAGGUAAACAUACUCCUUCACAGACUCUAGAGGCUGACUGAUGAUCCUGAACUCUUGUUCCCUUGCCCGGUUAUUCAUUGUUAUUGUUGUCUUCUGCAUAUUAAUCUUCAACCCCACUCUUACACUCUCUCUGUUAAGGUCCUCAAUCAUUUGUUGUGACUCGUCUGCAGUGUUGCUGAAUAGAACAAUGUCAUCGGCAAACCGAAGGCUGCUGAGGUAUUCGCCGUCGAUCCUUAAUCCUAAGCCUUCCCAGUUUAAUAGCUUGAAUACUUCUUCCAAGCACGCAGAGAAUAGCAUUGGAGAGAUUCUGUCUCCUUGUCCGACCCGUUUAUAGGUAUCUUCCUAUUUUUCUUGUGUAGAAUGAAGGUGGCUGUGCAAUCUGUAGAUAUUUUCUAAGGUAUUUACGUAAAUGGUCUGGGGUACUCCUUGAUUAUGUAAUGCCCCUAUGACUGCUGGUAUCUCUACUGAAUCAAAUGCCUUUUUGUAAUCUAUGAAAGCCAUAUAGACAGGUUGAUUGUACUCUGCAGAUUUCUCGAUUACCUGAUUGAUGACAUCGAUGUGAUCAAUUGUAUAGCAUCCCUUCCUGAAGCCAGCCUGUUCCCUUGGUUGACUAAAUUCCAGUGUUGCCCUUAUUCUAUUGGAGAUUAUCUUGGUGAAUAUUUUGUGUGAUACUGGGAGUAAACGAACAGGCCUAUAAUUUUUAAAUUCUAUAAUGUCUCCCUUUUUGUGAAUUAGUAUAAUGUUUGCAUUCUUCCUAUUUUUCUGGAGUCUCUUGCAGUUGAUAGACACUUUAUAUAGAGAGCCGCUAGUUUUUCAAGCAUUAUGUCUCCUCCAUCUUUGAUUAAAUCGACUGUCACUCCAUCUUCUGCCGCUUUUACCUGUCAUGUCUUGCAAGGCCCUUCUAACGUCAUUGCUAGUUAUAGGAGGAGUUUCUUUAUCCUGUUCGUUACUGUUUACAACGGAGUUCUCCCGAGUCCUCUGGGUACUGUACAGGUCAGUAUAGAAUUCUUCCACUACUUUUACUAUACCUUCGAGAUUGCUGAUGAUAUAACCCAGCUUAUCUUUCAGUGCAUACAUGAUGGUUUGCCCUAUGCCAAGUUUCCUUCUCACUGAUUUCAUUAGCUCAAUAGUAAAGGUUCUUGUGGUGUCGAGUGACACUGCUGCGCAUGGAGCAUUAUGCAAAGCAGUGUCACUUGAUGCCACUGGAACCACAGCAAACACUUUUAUGCAGCAACAUUAAAAUAGCUUCUCAGUUUGCGCUGAACUUUCUUCUUUUCAAUGUCUGUAAGAAAAGUUAUUGUGGAAGUUAAAAAAAGAAGCUGCUGUUUCCUCACUAAACAGAGAGGCGGUGCACUGCUACAAUGUGUGGCCACACUGCUGCUGAAAUGUUUUACCACCAGCAGCUGGCGGCGUGCACUUUUCCUCCAGUGUGGCUGGGGCUUAACACAUUGUCCAUGGGUGGCUGGAAUGUUAUUCAAGCUAGUACACUGCAAUGUAAGGCUAUUAGUUUUAGAAAUGCCACUAAAUGCCUACUUCUGCAGUCAUAUUAUCUGCAGUUAGGUGAAAACACGAUUGCAAUGACCAUUUGCAUAUAUAUAUUCACACAAAAAAAACAUUAUCCUGAAAUACAUGUUAUGCAGAAUCAUCAACAAGGCUCUCCUGUGUAGUUCACACUUUGAUAAUGUCUGGCACUUCUAAUAAAUAGCAGUAGACAUGAGACUGAACUAGUGAAGGUUCUAUCAUGUUAAAUGGUGGGAAAUGAGACAAAGUACAGUCAAAGCAUGUUAGGCUAAUUAGUCUUUGUCCCCCCUUUUGGCCAUCCUUUCCUUGCUUUGCAUUGUUUAAUGAGAUUUCUAUGAAGCAAAUACAUAGUUUGUGCAAAGAACCAUGCACAGUAAUGAGACUGUGCAAUGCAUCUUAAACUGCUCUAAUUUUCAGCCACGAGUGUUUAUAAUGUGCAAUAUUUGUGCAUUAUGUUCCUUGUUGUGUUAAUACGCAAUCUCUAGCUCUGCUAUAUUUUGAUGCGAAACCGUCGAAUGGCCCAUUGAGCGAAAGAGCCAGCGUCUGUAGUCUAGCAGCAAAAUAGCACCUAAAGACCCAUUGCCUGCAACACAUGUCACGACUGCGCCUUAACGGAACAGAGCUGGCGAAAGGGAACACCUGCUACUGCAGUAGCACGUCAGAUAUUGUGUGAGGGGAGAGGGCAUCGCUGUGACACUACGUCACCCUCACUCUCACUUUCGGAAGCCUGUUUAUCAGUGCAUUCGCUGCCUGUGCAAGCUCUUGCCUCCAUUCUAACUGUGCCUCGGUAAGGCCAAAUCAAAAUGCACCAGGUGUCUCAAUGCGCUCGCUUACCUUCCAAGGAGUUUGUCACUCGAAGGACCGCUCAGCGGCAUUCAGUUGGACAUUAUUGCUUUCGCAUCCCCAACUCAUAAGUGAUCCCGGCCACGGCGGCCGCAUUUCGAUGGGGGCAAAAUGCGAAAACACCCGUGUACUUAGAUUUAGGUGCACGUUAAAGAUCCCCAGGUGGUCGAAAUUUCCGGAGUCCUCCACUACGGCGUGCCUCAUAAUCAGAAAGUGGUUUUGGCACGUUAAACCUCAUAAUUUAAUUUUAACUCAUAAGUGCUUAGGUGUCCUCAGAUGUUUUAUGAGCAACUUUUGCACAAUCUCAUAGCAUUUAGAACGUAUUAUUUCUGCUUUGUUCUCAAAUCUGACUUUGAUGCUUGCUUUGAUUGCUUGCUUGCUUUGAUGCUUGCUUUGAUUGCUUUGAUGAAAUGCACUCACUUAGGUAUGACUUUCAUGAAUAUAUAUUUAAUGUGAAGUUGUUGUACACUGCAUUCCUUUCAGCAUGAAAUAGACAUUGAUGAAAUUGCACUUCUAGUAACUCUCACAGAUCACAAUUGCACCUAUUUAUUCCUCAUAAACAAAGGAGGCACCUUCAUGUUCAAGUGCUUUAGUCACUAUGUGUGCAUAUUCAUGCCAGAGCCAAAAUGGUGAAUAUCUUGCUACUGUGCACCAAAUUUUGGUACCCUUCAGUGAAUCAUAUAAGCACUGCCUGUUUCAGCAUUCUUGGUGUGCUAUGUCCAAGCAUUUGCUUUCCCUGUGCUUUAACAUGUCAUGUACAAAACAUUUAUGCUCGGUUGCAGUGUAGGGAAAUUCAGCAAUAAUAUGUAAUCGUGUGUGACAGCACACGAGAAGGUUCUCAUAUGUUAUCAAUUUUAAGUGCUGUUUAUAUACUUAUGAUUUAAAUGAUGCUUUGCUAAUGUUUGUCAUUUCUAUUAAGCAGUUUAGUUACAUGGCUUGCAUAAAAAAACUAUGCACAAUUAUUCGACACUGCACUGCAUCUUAAUCUGCUCUAAUUUUCUGUGAGGAGUUUUCUAUAACCUGUGUAACUAGUGCAUUAUGUCCCUUGUUGCUGUGAUAGCUUGUGAUCUCUUUCAUGAUUACGUAUUAUGUUAUGCUGAGUUUUGCACUGAUGCUUCCUCCAUCUGUAUCCUUGUUUCCUUUGUAACUUUUUGCCAGUAUAAAACUCAGUGCAACAUAAUCAUUAACAUGCACUAACUAGCCCCAUUCCUUACUUUACUUAAUGCAAUCUCUUGCUCUGCAAUAUUUUAUUAGCAAGUUAUGGAUAAGUUAUCCACAGUACGUUGAAAAUUUUACUUGUACAAACCGGAUCUGUUCAGAUCUGGCAUAGAAUUAAUUGCAGCACAUCAAGUAGAAAUAAAAAACAAGCACUUGCAUCUCAGUUAUUUUUUUUUCUUGUGUUUUUGUCCUUGCUGCACUGCAUUUCAGGUCAUUUCAUGAUGAUCAACCAACAAGCCCACAUCGCCACCCUCGCUGACUUGUGCUGUGAUAAAGUUUAUUCACCUAGGUGUGAAUUUCGUCUACAUAUAUAUAUUGUACAGAAAGUUUUUGCCUGUUGUAUUCCUUUGCAGCGUGAAAUAAAAAGACAUUGAAAACA